rnacentral:misc_RNA from 1 species
AUCAGUCGUCCUGAACGCAGAAGAUUGUUGGCUUGACGGGCUCCGUGAUCUCGACGGACCCCUCCAGCAUCUUGGACACUUUCCCCAUAGACGGCCGCAUCUCGGCGCGGUCCUGCAGGCACCACAUGGCCGUCUUCACCAUGCGCUCCACGGUGGCGACGCUGGCGGCGUCGUCGUAGGUGGCGGCGAUGCGGGGGUCCAGGAUGUCGUCGAUGCGGCGCUCCACGUACACCUUCUCGUACGCCCACUUGGGGAAGUACCAGUCCUCACUGCCCACCGACUCCUGCCGGAACCCGUAGUUGCGGCGGCCGGACACGAUCUCCAGCAGGACCAUGCCGAAGCUGUACACGUCGGCCUUGGCCGUGAUGGGCUCGCGGUGGAUCACCCACUCGGGCGCCAUGUACCCGCGGGUGCCGCGGAUGCGCGACAUGGUCACCUUCUCCUUCUUGCUCGUCAGCUUGGACAGACCGAAGUCGGACACCUUGGGGCAGAAGUCGUCCUCCAGCAGGAUGUUCUCGGGCUUGAUGUCGCAGUGGAGAACCCACUCCAGGCACUCCUCGUGGAGGUAGGCGAUGGCGCGGGCAACACCCAGGGCGAUGCGGUAACGGGUGUGAAGGUCCAGCAGCGGCUGCUGCUGCUGCUGCUCAGCGGACGAAUCCUCCUCGCCGCUCCCACCGCCUCCGCCUCCGCCGGCGAACAGGUACUUGUCCAGCGACCCGUUGGGUACGUACUCGUACACCAACAUCCGCUGCUCCUUUUCGGCGCAGAACCCCCACAUGCGCACCAGGUUGAGGUGGUGCAUUCGCGCGAUGAUGGUCACCUCCGCCCAGAACUCUGCCUCGCCGCCGCCCACGCCUUGCAGCUGCUUCACCGCCACGGCGCGCCGGUCGGGCAGCUCGCCGCGGUACACCGUCCCGUACGCGCCGCGCCCCACCACGUUGGAGAAGUCCUUGGUCGCCUGCUUCAGCUCCGCGUGCGAGAACCGCCGGGGCCCGCCGGCGGGGAGGUACUCCAGUCCCAGCGUGCGCGCCAUCUCCCGGUACUGGGAGUACUUGCGCAGAAACGCCCAGAACGACAGCACCCCGGCCAGCAGCUCCACCACGAACAGCGCCGUGAUGAUGGCCACGUUCUGGAUCGUCGUCUGCGACUCCUUCGGCGGCACCGGCAGUGCCAGCUGCACGGGGCACACCGUCUCGAUCAUGGUCGUCAUCCCCGUGAACGGGUUGCUGUCAUUGUCCGACGCCACCACCCGCAGAUACGUCGACAUCUCCGUCGCCGGGGACCAGUACCCGUCCACCAGCCCGGUGAACUGGAGGCACGUCCGGUCGCCGCCGAACUUGUACCCGAACGCCACGCAGGUGGAGUUACUCCGGCAGAGUCUCUCGCAGUCCGCCAGGUUCUGCGGCGUCAGCUUGGUCAUCAGCGGCCCGGGGUCCGACGCCGAGGAGUUGGCGGCCCCGGAGAAGGAGACGAAGUCCAUCCGCACGAACGUGUCGUCGUCGCCCCUGCCGCUGUACCUUUUCUUGGGUGUGCAGGGGUCCGUCGGGGUGGCGUUGCGGUAGCCCGGCGGGCAGACGCAAGUGGUGCUGUCAACGCCGACGGGGACGCAGAUUCUGCCGUUGGCGCAGGUGCCCCGGAUGGUGCAGAGCUCCUGCACGACCUGCCACACCACGAGCCACUUCCGGGUCUUGGGCACCAGGCUGUAGAGGCGCAGGUUGCCGUCGUCGUCAAGCGUGAGCCGCCGCACCCGAUUGGUGGUGCCUUGGUCGGAGGCGAUGAGCUGCGAGCCGCUGAACUGGAGCUUGCCGUCGGCGGUGAGAUUGAGCAGAGCGCUGCCGCCGCUGAUGUUGGCGUACAUCAUGGAAUUGUUGAACUGCAGCGUGGCGGAGUUGACGACCCUGUAGUGGCCGUUGACGGACUGGAGCGUGGUGUCGUUGCCUCCCUUGGGCAUGGCCUGCCCCGGCAUGAGCGUGUUGGUGGGCUCGGCGAAGCUCGACCAGGCUGCGCCGUAGACCAGGCUCCCCGUAUCGUUGAGCUGCAGCACCGCCGGGGUGGUGGUGGUGUUGGCGGGGGGCGGGAGCGACCAGAUGGUGGCGUUGUUGUUCCCGCCGGCAGUCCAGGUGAGCCGGCCCGCCGCGUCGAUGGCGAGCUUGGAGGUGUCGUUGCCCUCGUAGGGGGAGUAGCUGGCUGUGUCGUGGGCGUACCAUAUGAAAGCCUUGUCGGUGGAGUUGGAGCCGACGACCCAGACGGCGAAGUGGUAGCGAUCCCGAGCAGAGGUCGACGCCACGAACCCGGCGGCGAAUUCCCGAUUGAUCGACACGAGGAUGCGGUUGCUGUUCGUGGGGCUCCAGGUCGAGUUGUUUGCGGAGAAAGAGGACAUCUGCUGCUGGGCGGCGGCGAGAGGUGGCACAAGGAGGAGGAGGCAGAGUAGGAGGGAGACGGAGGCCAUGGCCGCGACCUGCUGGCUGCUGCGGCCAAGACGACGACGAGGAGGACUUUGCUGCUGGUGUCGCGUGGGGUGGAACCGUGGAAAUAGCCUAUCGAUCGAUCAAAGCUGUCCAUUGCAACGACCGUGGGGAUAAUUAAUUGGGGGUGGGAUGACUGAUGAGGCAGCCGACUGAUUGCAAAGACUACUAGCAAAUCGGUCUUUUAGUUUGUCAAGAGUCCAGUCGCCGCUGCAAAAUUUGGAAUGGACGUAUUCCGUUUCUUUACCAUGUUCCAUGUGGGUCCAGUAAUGGAUCAGAUCGGACUGUCGGUUUGGAGGGCCGGAGACUUUUUUAUGUUCACUUACAUGAAUGGUUGGUCGUAUCGUCUUGUCCUAUAUUACUGC